ACUCUACAAGUACAGGCAUUUGUUUGUCAGGAGCACAGUAGUUAAUCAGGGGAUUGGGGUUUUUCUGGAGUGUCUUGCCUUUUCCAAGAAGUUUCUCCUGUCUGUUCUCCCAAACAUUCCAAGAGUGAUAAGUAAAUAGCCUCUACCAUAGGAUAGUCUUGCUGCUUCUUUCCUUAUCUUUGCAAAUGGUUUAGUACUUCCAUUUUCAUGCAGCUAGUGAAAAUGAAAAAACUCUUGAGAGAGCUAAGAUUAUCUUUUAAAUCCCUCUACACUGACAAUAAGCUCUCCAGCCAUACUGUGGCUUCAAGGUUCCAUCCUUUGUAAGCCCUGUGUACCUUUUCAACUUCUCUCAUUCUUGUUCCCUUUGCUAUAGCAAUAGUGUCAUCUUACUGUCAAAUGUGCACAGCUAUUUUAUUUCUAACACUGGAUUUUUGUACUUGAUGUUCCUCGUGCUUCACUUCCUCCACCCUGCAGCCCACCUUAAAUAAUCACAUGGCUUCACUUUAUUUAUGUCUAAGCUUAAAUGUCAAGAGGCUUUUCAGACCAUCCUGUCUGAACCAUUCUUUUUUCCCUCAUGACCCUGCUUAGUCUAUCUGUAAUAAUUUAUUUAUUGGUUUAUUUUUUGUCUAUGUUUCUCCUACUAGAAUGUGAGCUGCAUGAGUGAAAGAACCUUGUCUGUCUUUGAAUUUUACGAGGAAGAGAGAAUGAACUGACAGAUAUCGGAAAUGUGAAAUUUUCUGAGGAAGAGAGAAUGAACUGACAGAUAUUGGAAAUGUGAAAUGAAAGAGGGGAAAAAGGAGCGAGCUGUGGUGGACAAGGUGUUUUUCUCAAGGCUCACCCAGAUUCUCAAAAUCAUGGUCCCUAGAACAUUUUGCAAAGAGUGGUAUCAUUGGUCGUAGCAGGAAAGAUUUCAAGAGAUACUUAUUCAACUUCA
rnacentral:lncRNA from 1 species